rnacentral:lncRNA from 1 species
UGGAAGUUUUUCAUCUCAGUCAAAAUGCCUGGACCCAUUUAGACAUUAUUCAGGCUCUCUUGGCUAUCUUCCAAGGUCUGUGACUUGAGUUAAGGCAAAGAAUUAAAAUAGAGUAGCCCCAAUCUACUCUUUUUCACUGGGUUAAGUAGUAGGUACUCAUGUAUUACACCGUAAAAGUCCUAGAAUCACAGAAUCUUGAGUUGGAAGGGAAGAUGUAUUCUCUUACAACCUGUACCUGAACAACCAUUCCCUCAAUACGUCAGUGUAAGACUUGUCCUGGGGCUGCUCAGGGCUCUCUUCUCCUCUUCUCUUCUCUUCUCUUCUCUUCUCUUCUCUUCUCUUCUCUUCUCUUCUCUUCUCUUCUCUUCUCUUCUCUUCUCUUCUCUCAUUAUACUGUCUCACUUGGUGAUCUCAUCCCCUCCAGCAGGCUCAAUGAUCAUCUUUACCCAGAUAAUUCUCAGGUCAUUAUAUCCUGCCUUGGUUUCCUUCCUGAGUUGUGGUCCCAAAUGACCAACUGCCUCUCAGAUGUUUUGAAUUGGAUGGUCUCCUAAAUAUCUCCAACUCAAUAAGUCCAAAACAGAACUCAUCAUCUUCCCCCACUCCAACUCACCCGGUCCUUCCACUCUUCCCAAUUUUUCUAUUGCUGUGGAGGCACCAUGAUUUUACCAUUGAUCUAGUCUUGCCACUUGGGCAUCCUUGACUCUUCACUUAGCCAGGUAAGGUGCUCAUCAACUCACACCCGGACCACGGUAGCCUUCUGGAGGGUCUUCCUGCCUCUAACUUAUCCUUCACUCAGCUGUUAGAGUGAAGAGGUAAUAGUUCUACCAUACUCCACCCUCAUCAGAUCUUAUCUGGAGUUUUCCUGUUUAGUUCUGCACAUGAUAGAGUGAGAACAUCUAUCAACUGGAGAGUGUCCAGAGAAGGUUAACAAGGAUGAUGAAGACAGGACCAUCUACUAAAUGCUUAAUGAUUAACUCUCUAAAAAUUGUUACUGUAUGCUUUUAGGUUGACUCUGCAUUAUUAACAUUUUCACCAUCACUUUCCUAAGUCUAGACAAUCACAAAACAAUAAAUCAAGUCGUAAUUGGUAGCA